rnacentral:rRNA from 1 species
UACAGAGGGGGCAAGCGUUGUUCGGAAUUACUGGGCGUAAAGGGUUUGUAGGUGGCCAACUAAGUCAGACGUGAAAUCCCUCAGCUUAACUGGGGAACUGCGUCUGAUACUGGUUGGCUUGAGUGCAGGAGAGGAACGCGGAAUUCCAGGUGUAGCGGUGAAAUGCGUAGAUAUCUGGAGGAACACCGGUGGCGAAGGCGGCGUUCUGGACUGCAACUGACACUGAGAAACGAAAGCCAGGGUAGCAAACGGG